GGCGCACGGGUGAGUAACGCGUGGGAACCUAGCUCUUGGUACGGAACAACCGCGGGAAACUGCGGCUAAUACCGUAUACGCCCGUCAUGGGAGACCGUGGCGGGGAAAGAUUUAUCGCCGAGAGAUGGGCCCGCGUCGGAUUAGCUUGUUGGUGAGGUAACGGCUCACCAAGGCAUCGAUCCGUAGCUGGUCUGAGAGGAUGAUCAGCCACACUGGGACUGAGACACGGCCCAG
rnacentral:rRNA from 1 species